AAAUUGAAGAGUUUGAUCAUGGCUCAGAUUGAACGCUGGCGGCAGGCCUAACACAUGCAAGUCGAGCGGUAGCACAGAGAGCUUGCUCUCGGGUGACGAGCGGCGGACGGGUGAGUAAUGUCUGGGAAACUGCCUGAUGGAGGGGGAUAACUACUGGAAACGGUAGCUAAUACCGCAUAACGUCGCAAGACCAAAGUGGGGGACCUUCGGGCCUCAUGCCAUCAGAUGUGCCCAGAUGGGAUUAGCUAGUAGGUGGGGUAACGGCUCACCUAGGCGACGAUCCCUAGCUGGUCUGAGAGGAUGACCAGCCACACUGGAACUGAGACACGGUCCAGACUCCUACGGGAGGCAGCAGUGGGGAAUAUUGCACAAUGGGCGCAAGCCUGAUGCAGCCAUGCCGCGUGUGUGAAGAAGGCCUUCGGGUUGUAAAGCACUUUCAGCGGGGAGGAAGGCGUUAAGGUUAAUAACCUUGGCGAUUGACGUUACCCGCAGAAGAAGCACCGGCUAACUCCGUGCCAGCAGCCGCGGUAAUACGGAGGGUGCAAGCGUUAAUCGGAAUUACUGGGCGUAAAGCGCACGCAGGCGGUCUGUCAAGUCGGAUGUGAAAUCCCCGGGCUCAACCUGGGAACUGCAUUCGAAACUGGCAGGCUAGAGUCUUGUAGAGGGGGGUAGAAUUCCAGGUGUAGCGGUGAAAUGCGUAGAGAUCUGGAGGAAUACCGGUGGCGAAGGCGGCCCCCUGGACAAAGACUGACGCUCAGGUGCGAAAGCGUGGGGAGCAAACAGGAUUAGAUACCCUGGUAGUCCACGCUGUAAACGAUGUCGAUUUGGAGGUUGUGCCCUUGAGGCGUGGCUUCCGGAGCUAACGCGUUAAAUCGACCGCCUGGGGAGUACGGCCGCAAGGUUAAAACUCAAAUGAAUUGACGGGGGCCCGCACAAGCGGUGGAGCAUGUGGUUUAAUUCGAUGCAACGCGAAGAACCUUACCUGGUCUUGACAUCCACAGAACUUUCCAGAGAUGGAUUGGUGCCUUCGGGAACUGUGAGACAGGUGCUGCAUGGCUGUCGUCAGCUCGUGUUGUGAAAUGUUGGGUUAAGUCCCGCAACGAGCGCAACCCUUAUCCUUUGUUGCCAGCGGUCCGGCCGGGAACUCAAAGGAGACUGCCAGUGAUAAACUGGAGGAAGGUGGGGAUGACGUCAAGUCAUCAUGGCCCUUACGACCAGGGCUACACACGUGCUACAAUGGCAUAUACAAAGAGAAGCGACCUCGCGAGAGCAAGCGGACCUCAUAAAGUAUGUCGUAGUCCGGAUUGGAGUCUGCAACUCGACUCCAUGAAGUCGGAAUCGCUAGUAAUCGUAGAUCAGAAUGCUACGGUGAAUACGUUCCCGGGCCUUGUACACACCGCCCGUCACACCAUGGGAGUGGGUUGCAAAAGAAGUAGGUAGCUUAACCUUCGGGAGGGCGCUUACCACUUUGUGAUUCAUGACUGGGGUGAAGUCGUAACAAGGUAACCGUAGGGGAACCUGCGGUUGGAUCACCUCCUUA
rnacentral:rRNA from 1 species